rnacentral:misc_RNA from 1 species
GGUGAAGAGACAGGUGAGUCAUCGAAUCUUUGAACGCACAUUGCGCCCGCCAGUAUUCUGGCGGGCAUGCCUGUUCGAGCGUCAUUUCAACCAUCAAGCCCCGGGCUUGUGUUGGGGACCUGCGGCUGCCGCAGGCCCUGAAAACCAGUGGCGGGCUCGCUAGUCACUCCGAGCGUAGUAGUCUACACCUCGCUCAGGGCGUGCUGCGGGUUCCGGCCGUUAAAAGCCUUAUUUUACCCAAGGUUGACCUCGGAUCAGGUAGGAAGACCCGCUGAACUUAAGCAUAUCAAUAAGCGGAGG